rnacentral:rRNA from 1 species
GGAUUGUAGGCUGCAACUCGCCUACAUGAAGCGGAAUCGCUAGUAAUCGCGGAUCAGCAUGCCGCGGUGAAUACGUUCCCGGGCCUUGUACACACCGCCCGUCACACCAUGAGAGUUUGUAACACCCAAAGCCGGUGGGGUAACCUUUUGGAGCCAGCCAUCUAAGGUGGGACAGAUGAUUGGGGUGAAGUCGUAACAAGGUACC